CAAAUUGGAGCUCAUAUUUUUCACUCUCUCUCAUCUGUCUCUCACUUUUUCUUCUGGCCAGAUUUGUAUGCUUUGGUUGAUGAUUAGAAAUGCCCUUUUUCUCUCAAACCCUCGUUUUCUCCCACAGCCCCUCUUUUCCUUUCUCACCUAUCUCAAUGUCACCCACCAAAUUUAGUUUCGAAGAACUUGGUGGCCACUGGGUUGACCUGGAUCUACAACCUCCAGAACCCACAUCAACAACCUCCCUAAGCUCCUCUCCUACGUCACACCAACCUCGCCGCCUCAGUACGUCGUCGAAUCAAACUACCGAUUACACCCAUCGUCAUCUCACCUACAUCUACCCAAAACUCAAUCACUUUCUCACCCAUCCUUGCUUGCUGAGAACAGAGAACUCAGACAUGGCCACGGGAUAGAAGCCAUUGAUAUUCUCAUCUCCAUUCUAGUAUCAAAAAUCAAAGGUUUAGGCUUUGGAGUCUAUAUUGGGAUCAGUUCACCGCUACGGUAUGGAAUUGAGGAAAGAUAGAGGAGUGGAGCUGGAUUUUGAUCGAAAAACUCUGGCAAGUGAAAGGUUGGAGUUGUGCAGUACGUUAGGUGAAGGAGAGAGAUUUUGGGUGAAGGCUCCUUGACUGGGUAUUGAUUAAAUUCAGAUUACGUUGGAAAGCUUGUAUGAAGAUGUUGCUGGGUCUUUAUUUCUUAUUGAGAUGAUGACGUUCUGUUUGGACUUCAUGAGACAAAUUAGCUCAAUUGUUCAAUUGUUUGUUAAUAAUUAAAGUGAGACAAGUUGGCUGGUUGUUUAACAAUUAGAGUGUUAUAAUGCUCUUUGUUGGAGUAUGCGUAUAAGCUUUAUUAAAGGUUGCCUGGAGGUAGGGUCAUUCAAUUGUAAAUUUGCUUUGGUGUUCUUGUAAUUUUGGAAUGAAUAAGGGAUACAUAUAUGUAUAAUUUUCUUCUUCUGGGAGUUAAGUUGCAGACGUGAGUGAGUACUUGGCAGAAACUAGAUUACAAUUAGAGGCUUGGUUUGGCCUAAGAAAUAGCAUUUAUUAGACCUAAGGCUUCUAUUCUUAACAAGUUGUAGACUUUAUACUUCCAACUAGACUUCAUACUUCAAGUUACAGACUUUCUAGCUGAUGAUGUUCUGUUCUCAUAGUAAUGUUGUUGACACUAUGGAAGCAUAAUGAAAUUUUGAUAUAGUGAGAUAUUUGUGUAUGAUUUUUGUACUUAAUGUGAAUCCUUUGUAAGAAGUUAAAUUCAGUUGAAGUGUGAACAAUGAUAAGUAGUAGUACUAGCCUUAAGUUCUUGCAUGUUUAUGAGUAAUAAUAAUUUUUCUUUUUU